AUUGAACGCUGGCGGAAUGCUUUACACAUGCAAGUCGAGCGGCAGCACGGGGACAACCCUGGUGGCGAGUGGCGAACGGGUGAGUAAUACAUCGGAACGUGCCCAGUCGUGGGGGAUAACGUAGCGAAAGUUACGCUAAUACCGCAUACGAUCUACGGAUGAAAGCGGGGGACCGUAAGGCCUCGCGCGAUUGGAGCGGCCGAUGUCAGAUUAGGUAGUUGGUGAGGUAAAGGCUCACCAAGCCGACGAUCUGUAGCUGGUCUGAGAGGACGACCAGCCACACUGGGACUGAGACACGGCCCAGACUCCUACGGGAGGCAGCAGUGGGGAAUUUUGGACAAUGGGCGCAAGCCUGAUCCAGCCAUUCCGCGUGCAGGACGAAGGCCUUCGGGUUGUAAACUGCUUUUGUACGGAACGAAAAGGCUCUGGUUAAUACCUGGGGCUCAUGACGGUACCGUAAGAAUAAGCACCGGCCAACUACGUGCCAGCCGCCGCCGUAA
rnacentral:rRNA from 1 species